rnacentral:rRNA from 1 species
AAAUUGAAGAGUUUGAUCAUGGCUCAGAUUGAACGCUGGCGGCAGGCCUAACACAUGCAAGUCGAGCGGUAGCACAGAGAGCUUGCUCUCGGGUGACGAGCGGCGGACGGGUGAGUAAUGUCUGGGAAACUGCCUGAUGGAGGGGGAUAACUACUGGAAACGGUAGCUAAUACCGCAUAAUGUCGCAAGACCAAAGUGGGGGACCUUCGGGCCUCAUGCCAUCAGAUGUGCCCAGAUGGGAUUAGCUAGUAGGUGGGGUAACGGCUCACCUAGGCGACGAUCCCUAGCUGGUCUGAGAGGAUGACCAGCCACACUGGAACUGAGACACGGUCCAGACUCCUACGGGAGGCAGCAGUGGGGAAUAUUGCACAAUGGGCGCAAGCCUGAUGCAGCCAUGCCGCGUGUGUGAAGAAGGCCUUCGGGUUGUAAAGCACUUUCAGCGGGGAGGAAGGCGGUGAGGUUAAUAACCUCAUCGAUUGACGUUACCCGCAGAAGAAGCACCGGCUAACUCCGUGCCAGCAGCCGCGGUAAUACGGAGGGUGCAA